GACAGAGGUGCCAAGCGUUAGGCGGAAUCACUGGGCUUAAAGCGUGUGUAGGCGGGUUCCUAAGUACCUUGUGAAAUCCCCCGGCUCAACCGGGGAACUGCUGGGUAUACUGGGUGCCUUGAGCCAACUAGGGGCUGCCGGAACAAGUGGUGGAGCGGUGAAAUGCGUAGAUAUCAGGAGGAACACCAGCGGCGAAGGCGGCGCUCUGGGCCGGAACUGACGCUGAGGAGCGAAAGCGUGGGUAGCAAACAGG
rnacentral:rRNA from 1 species